rnacentral:misc_RNA from 1 species
GAUGAAGAACGUAGUGAAAUGCGAUAAGUAAUGUGAAUUGCAGAAUUCAGUGAAUCAUCGAAUCUUUGAACGCACAUUGCGCCCGUCAGUAUUCUGGCGGGCAUGCCUGUUCGAGCGUCAUUACGCCCCUCAAGUCCCCUGUGGACUUGGUGUUGGGGAUCGGCGAGGCUGGUUUUCCAUCACAGCCGUCCCUUAAAUUAAUUGGCGGUCUCGCCGUGGCCCUCCUCUGCGCAGUAGUAAAACACUCGCAACAGGAGCCCGGCGCGGUCCACUGCCGUAAAACCCCCCAACUUUUUAUAGUUGACCUCGAAUCAGGUAGGACUACCCGCUGAACUUAAGCAUAUCAAUAAGCGGAGGA